AUGAGGGCGCCGCGGGCGGAGGGCCCGGCGACGGUGCUGGCCAUCGGCACGGCAACGCCACACAACUGCGUGUCCCAGGCGGACUACGCGGACUACUACUUCCGCGUCACCAAGAGCGAGCACCUCGUCGACCUCAAGAAGAAGUUCAAGCGCAUGUGUAAGCAGUUUCUUCUUUUUGUAUAUAAGCAUGUUCUUCACCAAUGCAUGCAAAACGGCUACCACCCUCACUACACUCUUCACGGCCAAACACAUGCAAUGCCAUGUGAUUUCGAGAAAUGGAUGCUUUUGACAUGUACCCCUUCAAUUUAA
rnacentral:rRNA from 1 species